rnacentral:rRNA from 1 species
GAUGAACGCUGGCGGCGUGCCUAAUACAUGCAAGUCGAGCGAACAGACGCGGAGCUUGCUCCUCUGACGUUAGCGGCGGACGGGUGAGUAACAAGUGGCUAACCACCCUAUAAGACUGGGAUAACACCGGGACAAAGGAGCUAUUACAGGAUAAUCUAUUGAACCGCAUGGUUCAAUAGUGAAAGACGGUUUUGCUGUCACUUGUCGAUGGACCCGCGCCGCAUGGGCUAGUUGGUAAGGUAACGGCUUACCAAGGCAGCGAUGCGUCGCCGACCUGAGAGGCUGAUCGGCCACACGGGAACUGGGACACGCUCCAGACUCCUGCGAGAGGCAGCAGUAGGGAAUCUUCCGCAGUAGGCGAAAGCUUGACGGAGCAACGGCGCGUGAGUGAUAGAGGUCUUCGGAGCGUAAAACUCUGUUACGAGGGAAGAACAAAUUUGUACGUGACUGUGCACGUCUUGACGGUACCUAGUCAAAAAGCCACGGCUAACUACGUG